CUACCGUAGUUGUAUGACUUUGUUUAGGUUUGUUUUUUAUAUCGUUGUCUCCUUUAUUUGCUGUCAGUGUAGUGCCUUUUCCCCCUAUCGCUUGGAGUCCACUAUUUAGUUCUGCGUCCUCUUGAGAUGUGCGCUGAUAGUGAGAUCUACCAUGAUUAUGAUAACAGAAUGUCGACUAUUCCAAAACUGAUGACGAGGAUUGCUAUUAUGGAGAUAACAGCCAGAGGAAUCCAACCUAUGUUCAAAAAUGUCAGGAACAAAAUAUUGUCAGGGAAAGUGAUAUUACCAACAUAUGUGCAAACUAUUUCAGGUACAAAUUAUAUGAAGAUAAGUGAAAUGUCCAACCUACGCUCAAAAUAGAUCAGGAACAAAAUGGGUCAGGACAAGUGAGCAAUGUAAUUCUAAGAUGGUUUACAUAUGAAUACAAAUAUCAAACCUUUCAAACUGUCGGAGAUGAACAUAUA